UUUUGAUAACGUGUCCCGACACAACAACUCUCUCUCUGCAUUCCUUUCUCAUUCUUCACUAUUUAUUACGAUCUCUCCACCAUGACGACCAGUUUCACUUCGUGCUCGAAUUCGUGUCGCCUUCGCAUUCGCCUUCUAGAGAUCACUCCUCGCAUUCUCUCAUUCUCAUAGUCUCACAUUCUUUCCAGACUCUUGCAUACAAAAUCGCAUCCAUUCAAGUUGUUCUUCCACUGAGUGUCAUGAAGCUUCAAGAUUGGGAACAAGUAAGAGAACUCAGGUCACUUCAUUUUAGACAUAUUAUGUCUUGGAAGGAAGGUGAGGAGUAAAGACACGGAUUCCUGUAACAGAUCUGCAAUUGUGGUACUAAUUCUCAAUUGAUAGUGCUCAAAUAAUUUAAAGAGGAAGUUGCAAGUCAUUACCUAGGUCAGGGUGGUAUUGGUCUGGUUUCAAGCUAUGUUGCUUAUUCUCCUAAGAUUGCAAGUUGAUACUUGGAUUCUUCAUGCAACUAUUGGCUUAAUUAUAGCACGGUUGUUCUUUCACUUUGCAAGAGAAUGGUAAAAUGAACUAUCCGCAAUUACUUUAGGAGACCAAACUCUAUAAUAUUCUUCAAGUAGGAAGUAGGACAUGAUGAACCUGGAUGGAAAUCAGAGAGUCCUCUGACAAGGUUUUCCAAAUAUUCACCAUGUGAAUGAUAGUUCAAUGGUGGCAUCCCAAGCAUAAAAUGUAAAGAUUGAGAUGCUUGUGGAUAGGACUGGACCUACUCUCACAGAACAUGAUGAAUCUGGAUGAAAAUCGGAGAGUGCUCUGACAAGGUUUUCCAAAUAUUCACUAUGUGAAUGACAGUUUAAUGGUAUAUUGAAUAUUUCUUUUAUUCCUUUCUUUCCUUUUAGAUGCUUGGUGAUUAAUUUUCCUUUUAGCUUUUUUAGUUUCAUCACUCGUUAAUUUUAAGUUUGAGAAAUAGCUUAUGAUACUGGAAUGAUUUGUAAUGCCUUGCGAAAGAUAUGUAAUUGUUUCUGUUCACAGCUUUCUUUGAUUCACCUAUUAUAAUUAGUCACUAGCCAUGCUACUCUAGCAUAUUUAAUGCAUAUAUAACCUUAUGAAAUUCAUGUCGAAGGUCAAUUUAUCAAGUUGUCAACAACAAUUAAAAACAAUAAAUUGGGAUAUAAGAAUUUAUCUAGAAACCAUACAAUAGAUUUUUUUCGUUCAAGAAGCAGCAUGUGGAUUUUUCGGCUGCCCAUGUAAGAGUCAAUCCUUGAUUUUUAUUUAUUCUUUACUCACUUUGAAUUUGAAUAUUGUAUUAUUAUCUCAAACAUUCCCUUUUGAUAUAUAUCCAAUAAAACUAUGGCAGCUUAACGAGAACAUGCAAUUAUUAAAUCUAUUUCUUUUGGCAUUUUAGAAUUUGGAUAUAGAUAUGAAAUUAUUGGUGUUCAAACAAUUAUCAACUUUGUGUAUCCACGUGUUGUUACCAUUUAUAGUCUAUGAUCCCUAUUGGUAGUAACUCUGCUUGAAAUAUUUAGUGUUAUUGACUUCCUUCAGUUUUUUAUCACUUUCCUUCGUUGUUACAUAAGUUACAAUUUAUCAUACAUGAUAGCAUGUUGAUCUUGCUUUGAACAUGUUAAUGUAAGAAGCUAUGUUUAUCUAGUGGGUCGUACUGCAAGAGCUAGAAGAGAAGGAUAUGCUAUCACUUUUGUGACUGACAAUGACCGAUCACUUUUAAAAGCCAUUGUGAUUAUCAUUUAAAGAGUGGCCGCAUUUUUUCAAGCUUUAUUUUAUAUUUCCUUUCACAGUUUUCCUUAUAAGAUAAAAAAAAGGUUGUGCAUGUUGAUUUAGAUGUUGGGUCCCAUUUAUCAUAACAAUGUACUUACUCAGAAGGCCCAAAGAAAACUGAAAAGAUUUUUCUGAGGUAGCUAAAAAAGGCCGAGUUCAAAAAGGCAAAGCUCAUAACAUAAAAUAGAAGUUAAUAUGCCUAGAGAUUGGAGAUUUGUCUCCUCAAAUCCUCCAAACCUAAUCAUUGGAGAAACGUAUUAUGGAGUAAAAAACAAGAGCCUUUCUAAACUGAUACAGAGGAAUAAUGACUCUUCUCUCAACCAUUGAUCCUAAAAACAUUGAGGAAGCACUAACUGAAGAUUCUUAGGUGAUAGCCAUGGAGGAAGAACUAAUUAGUUCACCAAGAACGCGUUUUGGAAUCUUGUUCCUCCUCCUAAGAAUCAGUCAGUGAUUGGAAAUAAGAGGUGUUUAAAAACAAGCUCAAUGAAGCAGGAGAAGUGGUUUAAAACAAGGCUAGACUGGUUGUUUAAGAAUACAAUCAACAAGUAAUUGACUAUGAAUAAACCUUUGCACCAGUAACAAUACUUGAAGCCAUUAGAAUACUCUUAGCUUAUGCUGCACACAAACACAUCAAACUGUACCAAAUGGAUGUUAAGAAUGCCUUUCUAAAUGGAUUCAUAAAUGAAGAGGUGUAUGUGAAGCAACCACUAGGAUUUGAAGAUAAAGAAAGACCUUGUCAUGUGUACAAGCUUAUCAAAGCCUUUUAUGGUUUGAAACAAGCUCUAAUAGCUUGGUAUGAAAGGCUAAGUUCAUUUCUAGUUUCAAAUGGAUUCACCAGAGGAAUAACGGACCCCGCACUAUUCAGAAAGGCUCAAAAAGGAAACCUUCUUAUUAUUCAUAUCUAUGUUGAUGACAUAAUCUUUGGUGCAACCUCAAAAAGGAUGUGAAAGGAGUUUUCUGAGUUAAUGAAGGGUGGGUUCGAAACGAGUAUGAAAGGUGAGCUAAAGUUUCUCCUAGGACUUCAAAUCAUUCAGAAAGUUCAUGGGAUUUUUAUCCAUCAAGAGAAAUAUAUGAAGCCCCUUCUAAAAAGGUUCAGAAUGGAUGAAGCCAAACCUAUGGCAACCCCUAUGCAUCGUUCCACAAUCGUUGACAAGGAUGAGAAAGGUUAUGAUAUUUCAUAAAAGGAGUAUAGAGGUAUGAUUGAUUCCUUAUCAUAUUUAACUUCUGGUAGACCAGAUAUUGUGUUUGUCGUUUGCCUUUGUGCAAGAUUUCAGUCUUAUCCAAAAAUUUCUCAUGUUAUUGCAGUUAAAAGGAUCUUAAGAUAUCUUGUUGGAACUACUAAUCAUGGUCUUUGGUUUAAGAAAAGGUCUAAGUUUGAUCUUGUA